UACGUAGGAGGCGAGCGUUGUCCGGAGUUACUGGGCGUAAAGGGUGCGCAGGCGGCGGUUCGCGUGGCGAGAUGAAAUCUCCUGGCUUACCUGGGAGGGUGGUCGCCAGACGGGAUCGCUUGAGGGUCGGAGAGGGGCGUGGAAUUCCGGGUGGAGCGGUGAAAUGCGUAGAGAUCCGGAGGAACACCAGUGGCGAAGGCGACACGCUGGGCCGUACCUGACACUGAUGCGCGACAGCAUGGGGAGCAAACAGG
rnacentral:rRNA from 1 species